rnacentral:tRNA from 1 species
GCCUGGGUGGCUCAGUCGGUUAAGCGUCUGACUUCGGCUCAGGUCACGAUCUCGCGGUCCGUGAGUUCAAGCCCCGCGUCAGGCU